AGAGUUUGAUCAUGGCUCAGAACGAACGCUGGCGGCGUGCUUAACACAUGCAAGUCGAGUGCGCGCCUGUAGCAAUACAGGUGGCGCACGGCGCACGGGUGCGUAACACGUGGGUAACCUGCCCUUUGGUGGGGAAUAACUCCGCGAAAGCGAAGCUAAUUCCGCAUAAGAUCCGCAAGGAUGAAAGCCGAAAGGCGCCGAUGGAGGGGCCCGCGCACGAUUAGCUAGUUGGUAGGGUAAUGGCCUACCAAGGCUUUGAUCGUUAGCUGGUCUGAGAGGAUGGCCAGCCACACUGGAACUGAGACACGGUCCAGACUCCUACGGGAGGCAGCAGUGGGGAAUCUUGCACAAUGGGCGAAAGCCUGAUGCAGCGACGCCGCGUGGGGGAUGAAGCUUCUCGGAGUGUAAACCCCUUUCGAUCCGGACGAAUGCCCGCAAGGGAUUGACGGUACGGAUAUAAGAAGCCCCGGCUAACUACGUGCCAGCAGCCGCGGUAAUACGUAGGGGGCCAGCGUUGUUCGGAAUUACUGGGUGUAAAGGGUUCGUAGGCGGUGCGGCAAGUUGGGAGUGAAAUCUCUGGGCUCAACCCAGAGGCUGCUUCCAAAACUGCCGUGCUUGAGUGUGGGAGAGGCUCGUGGAAUUGCAGGUGUAGCGGUGAAAUGCGUAGAUAUCUGCAGGAACACCCGUGGCGAAAGCGGCGAGCUGGACCACUACUGACGCUGAAGAACGAAAGCUGGGGGAGCAAACAGGAUUAGAUACCCUAGUAGUCC
rnacentral:rRNA from 1 species